GCAUCAGUGGUGUAGCGGUAACAUUGGGUCUUCCCAUCGCUUGCUUAUGUAAUGGCGAUUGGCCUAGCUCCGGGUUCGACUCCCGGCUGAUGCA